GGUUUGCCAGCACGUUGCCGGGGUCAGGAGGCUUCGCUCCCAGAGGCCCUCACAGGAAGCCUCUGUCCUUUUGUUUUCGUAGCACGAAGCCUAGCAGCACAUGUUUAUUGGGGUGCACGGGAUUAAAUGGGAAAACGAUGCGUUUCUUUCGAGACCUGGAGUUCCAGCAGUGGGAAACGCACGGUGGAGGCUGGCAGAGAAGUGCGAGCUGCGGAGUUAGUUGCCCGUGCCUUCUGAACGCGGGGGUGGACGUACGGUUCGGAAGGCGCUGGAAUCAAGGGGCUGGGACUGGGAGUUGGGAAGCCGUCAGGACGAGCUCCCCAGGCAGGAGGGGCCACACUCCGGCAGCCAAGACCCUCUUCUCUGGUGAGCUACAUACAGAUCAGAGGUCCUUCAGCAAGGAGACAGGGGUGAGACGGCGAUGUGGGCAGGGCUACAACUGUGCUCCAAUAUGAGGUGUGAUGAAGAGUAUGGUGAAUGUUUAAUUAAUGUAAUUAAGAAUAUCGCAGAGAAAGGCACAUUGCCAUUAGUCCCCCUCAAACUACUGACACUCACUUCAAACACUUUUGUCCCAUCUUUCUUGCCACUCUCCGAAGCAGUUCUGGAAGUGCUCUUUCGUUAGUGUCUUGAGUGGAGUUGUCCUGGCUACCUCCAGGUCCUGAAUCAAUUCAAAGCCUUUACCUUCCAUGCUCAUCUUGACCUUGAGGAAGAGCCAGAGGUUGCACAGCGCCAGAUCUGGUGGAUAAGGUGGAG
rnacentral:lncRNA from 1 species